UACGAAGGGGGCUAGCGUUGUUCGGAUUUACUGGGCGUAAAGCGCACGUAGGCGGAUCAUUAAGUCAGGGGUGAAAUCCCGAGGCUCAACCUCGGAACUGCCUUUGAUACUGGCGAUCUUGAGUUCGGGAGAGGUGAGUGGAACUGCGAGUGUAGAGGUGAAAUUCGUAGAUAUUCGCAAGAACACCAGUGGCGAAGGCGGCUCACUGGCCCGAUACUGACGCUGAGGCACGAAAGCGUGGGGAGCGAACAGG
rnacentral:rRNA from 1 species